UCAAGUGAAUAAGUGCAUCAGGCGGAUGCCUUGGCGAUGAUAGGCGACGAAGGACGUGUAAGCCUGCGAAAAGCGCGGGGGAGCUGGCAAUAAAGCUAUGAUUCCGCGAUGUCCGAAUGGGGAAACCCACUGCAUUCUGUGCAGUAUCCUAAGUUGAAUACAUAGGCUUAGAGAAGCGAACCCGGAGAACUGAACCAUCUAAGUACCCGGAGGAAAAGAAAUCAACCGAGAUUCCGCAAGUAGUGGCGAGCGAACGCGGAGGAGCCUGUACGUAAUAACUGUCGAGAUAGAAGAACAAGCUGGGAAGCUUGACCAUAGCGGGUGACAGUCCCGUAUUCGAAAUCUCAACAGCGGUACUAAGCGUACGAAAAGUAGGGCGGGACACGUGAAAUCCUGUCUGAAUAUGGGGGGACCAUCCUCCAAGGCUAAAUACUCAUCAUCGACCGAUAGUGAACCAGUACCGUGAGGGAAAGGCGAAAAGAACCCCGGGAGGGGAGUGAAACAGAACCUGAAACCUGAUGCAUACAAACAGUGGGAGCGCCCUAGUGGUGUGACUGCGUACCUUUUGUAUAAUGGGUCAACGACUUACAUUCAGUAGCGAGCUUAACCGGAUAGGGGAGGCGUAGGGAAACCGAGUCUUAAUAGGGCGAUGAGUUGCUGGGUGCAGACCCGAAACCGAGUGAUCUAUCCAUGGCCAGGUUGAAGGUGCCGUAACAGGUACUGGAGGACCGAACCCACGCAUGUUGCAAAAUGCGGGGAUGAGCUGUGGGUAGGGGUGAAAGGCUAAACAAACUCGGAGAUAGCUGGUUCUCCCCGAAAACUAUUUAGGUAGUGCCUCGAGCAAGACACUGAUGGGGGUAAAGCACUGUUAUGGCUAGGGGGUUAUUGCAACUUACCAACCCAUGGCAAACUCAGAAUACCAUCAAGUGGUUCCUCGGGAGACAGACAGCGGGUGCUAACGUCCGUUGUCAAGAGGGAAACAACCCAGACCGCCGGCUAAGGUCCCAAAUGAUAGAUUAAGUGGUAAACGAAGUGGGAAGGCACAGACAGCCAGGAUGUUGGCUUAGAAGCAGCCAUCAUUUAAAGAAAGCGUAAUAGCUCACUGGUCGAGUCGUCCUGCGCGGAAGAUGUAACGGGGCUCAAAUCUAUAACCGAAGCUGCGGAUGCCGGUUUACCGGCAUGGUAGGGGAGCGUUCUGUAGGCUGAUGAAGGUGCAUUGUAAAGUGUGCUGGAGGUAUCAGAAGUGCGAAUGUUGACAUGAGUAGCGAUAAAGCGGGUGAAAAGCCCGCUCGCCGAAAGCCCAAGGUUUCCUACGCAACGUUCAUCGGCGUAGGGUAAGUCGGCCCCUAAGGCGAGGCAGAAAUGCGUAGUCGAUGGGAAACAGGUUAAUAUUCCUGUACUUGAUUCAAAUGCGAUGUGGGGACGGAGAAGGUUAGGUUGGCAAGCUGUUGGAAUAGCUUGUUUAAGCCGGUAGGUGGAAGACUUAGGCAAAUCCGGGUUUUCUUAACACCGAGAAGUGAUGACGAGUGUCUACGGACACGAAGCAACCGAUACCACGCUUCCAGGAAAAGCCACUAAGCUUCAGUUUGAAUCGAACCGUACCGCAAACCGACACAGGUGGGUAGGAUGAGAAUUCUAAGGCGCUUGAGAGAACUCGGGAGAAGGAACUCGGCAAAUUGAUACCGUAACUUCGGGAGAAGGUAUGCCCUCUAAGGUUAAGGACUUGCUCCGUAAGCCCCGGAGGGUCGCAGAGAAUAGGUGGCUGCGACUGUUUAUUAAAAACACAGCACUCUGCCAACACGAAAGUGGACGUAUAGGGUGUGACGCCUGCCCGGUGCCGGAAGGUUAAUUGAAGAUGUGCAAGCAUCGGAUCGAAGCCCCGGUAAACGGCGGCCGUAACUAUAACGGUCCUAAGGUAGCGAAAUUCCUUGUCGGGUAAGUUCCGACCCGCACGAAUGGCGUAACGAUGGCCACACUGUCUCCUCCCGAGACUCAGCGAAGUUGAAGUGGUUGUGAAGAUGCAAUCUACCCGCUGCUAGACGGAAAGACCCCGUGAACCUUUACUGUAGCUUUGCAUUGGACUUUGAAGUCACUUGUGUAGGAUAGGUGGGAGGCUUGGAAGCAGAGACGCCAGUCUCUGUGGAGUCGUCCUUGAAAUACCACCCUGGUGUCUUUGAGGUUCUAACCCAGACCCGUCAUCCGGGUCGGGGACCGUGCAUGGUAGGCAGUUUGACUGGGGCGGUCUCCUCCCAAAGCGUAACGGAGGAGUUCGAAGGUUACCUAGGUCCGGUCGGAAAUCGGACUGAUAGUGCAAUGGCAAAAGGUAGCUUAACUGCGAGACCGACAAGUCGGGCAGGUGCGAAAGCAGGACAUAGUGAUCCGGUGGUUCUGUAUGGAAGGGCCAUCGCUCAACGGAUAAAAGGUACUCCGGGGAUAACAGGCUGAUUCCGCCCAAGAGUUCAUAUCGACGGCGGAGUUUGGCACCUCGAUGUCGGCUCAUCACAUCCUGGGGCUGUAGUCGGUCCCAAGGGUAUGGCUGUUCGCCAUUUAAAGUGGUACGUGAGCUGGGUUUAAAACGUCGUGAGACAGUUUGGUCCCUAUCUGCAGUGGGCGUUGGAAGUUUGACGGGGGCUGCUCCUAGUACGAGAGGACCGGAGUGGACGAACCUCUGGUGUACCGGUUGUAACGCCAGUUGCAUAGCCGGGUAGCUAAGUUCGGAAGAGAUAAGCGCUGAAAGCAUCUAAGCGCGAAACUCGCCUGAAGAUGAGACUUCCCUUGCGGUUUAACCGCACUAAAGGGUCGUUCGAGACCAGGACGUUGAUAGGUGGGGUGUGGAAGCGCGGUAACGCGUGAAGCUAACCCAUACUAAUUGCCCGUGAGGCUUGACUCU
rnacentral:rRNA from 1 species